rnacentral:rRNA from 1 species
AAUAGAUACCCAGGUAGUCCUAGCCGUAAACGAUACUCGCUAGGUGUCGGCCACGGUGCGACCGUUGUCGGUGCCGUAGGGAAGCCGUGAAGCGAGCCACCUGGGAAGUACGGCCGCAAGGCUGAAACUUAAAGGAAUUGGCGGGGGAGCACCACAACGGGUGGAGCUUGCGGUUUAAUUGGGUUCAACGCCGGAAAUCUUACCGGGACCGACAGCAACAUGAAGGCCAGGCUGAAGACUUUGCCGGAUUAGCUGAGAGGUGGUGCAUGGCCGUCGUCAGUUCGUACUGUGAAGCAUCCUGUUAAGUCAGGCAACGAGCGAGACCCACGCCCACAGUUGCCAGCGUACUCUCUGGAGUGACGGGUACACUGUGGGGACCGCCGCUGCUAAAGCGGAGGAAGGAAUGGGCAACGGUAGGUCAGUAUGCCCCGAAUAUCCCGGGCUACACGCGAGCCACAAUGGUUGGUACAAUGGGUAUCUACCCCGAAAGGGGAUGGAAAUCUCCUAAAGCCAAUUUAGUUCGGAUUGAGGGCUGCAACUCGCCCUCA